UACGUAGGGGGCUAGCGUUGUCCGGAAUCAUUGGGCGUAAAGAGCAUGUAGGCGGCCCGGUAAGUCCGCUGUAAAAGUCAAAGGCUCAACCUUUGAAUGUCAGUGGAUACUGCCGGGCUAGAGUCCGGAAGAGGCGAGUGGAACUCCUGGUGUAGCGGUGGAAUGCGCAGAUAUCAGGAAGAACACCAACGGCGAAGGCAGCUCGCUGGGACGGUACUGACGCUGAGACGCGAAAGCGUGGGGAGCGAACAGG
rnacentral:rRNA from 1 species